rnacentral:rRNA from 1 species
GCCCUUGAGGCGUGGCUUCCGGUGCUAACGCGUUAAGUCGACCGCCUGGGGAGUACGGCCGCAAGGUUAAAACUCAAAUGAAUUGACGGGGGCCCGCACAAGCGGUGGAGCAUGUGGUUUAAUUCGAUGCAACGCGAAGAACCUUACCUGGUCUUGACAUCCACGGAAGUUUUCAGAGAUGAGAAUGUGCCUUCGGGAACCGUGAGACAGGUGCUGCAUGGCU